UACGAAGGGGGCUAGCGUUGCUCGGAAUUACUGGGCGUAAAGCGCACGUAGGCGGAUUGUUAAGUCAGGGGUGAAAUCCUGGAGCUCAACUCCAGAACUGCCUUUGAUACUGGCGAUCUUGAGUCCGGGAGAGGUGAGUGGAACUGCGAGUGUAGAGGUGAAAUUCGUAGAUAUUCGCAAGAACACCAGUGGCGAAGGCGGCUCACUGGCCCGGUACUGACGCUGAGGUGCGAAAGCGUGGGGAGCAACAGGG
rnacentral:rRNA from 1 species